AACUGAUACUACCUGCGGGAACCUGCGGAGGGAUCAUUAACGAGUUUUGAAGUGGGAUUGAUGCUGGCCUUCCGAGGCAUGUGCUCGUCCUCGCUCAUCCACUCACAACACCUGUGCACUGUUGAGGUGUGGCCCCCCUUCAAUGGAGCCGCUCCCCCCUAGGGGGUCGAGCCGGGGUCAGGCCUUCUUCGUCACAAACAACUUGUAAUGUCUAUUCGGAAUGUAAUGCUUCAUGUUAAU
rnacentral:misc_RNA from 1 species